rnacentral:rRNA from 1 species
GACAGGCGGGGCAAGCGUUACUCAUCUUGAUUGGGCGCAAAGGGUACGUAUGCGGCUUACUAUAGAUUUCUAAUUAAAUUCUAGAGUUGUAUACUUUAGGGCGUUGGAAAUAUCAGUACGGCUAGAGUUGGGGGGUGGACGUUAGUAGAAUUCUCUGAGGAGCGCUGAAAUGCCAAGAUACUGAGAGGAAUCCUGUUUUUGAAGAUAUUUUUCGACAACCAACUGACGUUGAGGUACGAAGGCAUGGGGAGCAAACAGG